rfam:Pantoea ananatis LMG 20103, complete genome.
GCCAGGGAGCAAACAAAGCAAAAAAGAGUGAGCCGGCAGCGCCAGGUGCGCGGCCGGCCAAC